AGCCUCGUAGUGAGUCACACAUCAAAUUGCAAAUUUGAAAGCGUUCCUUUAUGGUUCCGGGGCUU
rnacentral:tRNA from 1 species